CAAAAAAGAAAAGAAAACGCGAGCGACUCUCACACCCAUCGCGUCCAGCGUUUCUCCUUUUCUCUACUCCCAACUAGCUAGGGACGCCGCCGCCGCCCUCACCCGCGCUCGUGCCCUCUUCGUCUCCUGUCCCGAGGUCCACCUCCUCCAGCCUCAUCUCCCUCGAUCUUCUUGAUUUGGAUCUCGGGAGCAGACAUGGGAGGGAGGCGAUGUGCCGGCGAGGCCUCUGGGACCGUGUGGCGGGCGUGAGCUACUCCGCCUCCCCACCCUCGUCCACGACGAUGAGGACUGGUUCGCGUUUUGCCUCCAGUUCCAACUCAUGGUCACGCUGGAUAUGCCCCAUGACACCGUUUGCGUCAAUCUGAAGGUUAGGGAGGACAGGGACGAGGUGCGGGCACAAAUGCAGGUGUUGAAUGAUUCUCAAUAUCGAUCAACAAUCUAGUAGGUGGCACAUAUGGGUCCCUCACCAUGCUGUUGACACGAUGGCCCUACCGAAUCAAGGACGAGCCAUGAGAUAACAUAGCCGGCGGCUCUCGUCACGCACACCGGUUGGUCCUGCUCCGGCGAGCCGCCGCCACCGUGCCUGUUUAGAUCUCACUAUUUAGUUUAUAGGUUCUUUGUCGGGCAGUGUAGAACUGAAAUAGUUGAAGAGAACAUCAUGAGGCGAUGCUAGAAGCUUGCUUGUGUGCUAGCCGUUGUUGUGAUUUUAAGAAAUUUACAAGUUCACUCAAUGGAAAAAAGAGGGACUAUGGUGAGAGUACAUCGAAAUCUCCUAGGAUGGCAAACAAGAAGUCGACCAAAAUAUCCGGCAACGGUGGUGAGCAUAGUGGUGACAUGUGAUUUCCAUGCCUAUUUGUCGGCUCUACAAAAUGCACAUUUGAUUUCUCCAUAUUCAUUUGUUGAUUUCUACUUUCAUGAGAAGUUGAGAACUACUUGAGGCAGAGUAUUUACAUCCUCAAUUUCAUCCUUCACUCCUUGUAGGUGUACUUACCCUUCUCUUGCUGCUGUUGCAUCUAGAUAUGCAAUCUAUGCUAGCUUUGUGGAAGUGGAGAUGGAAAGGACGUUGUCAUUAGUCAAGUCAUGUGAGCGGGGAAGGGGCCAAAAAAGCGAAGCUAAAAACAGCUAACAGGCCCAUCAGAAUAUUGUCCACUCCCUCCUCGAAGAAUAUCUGAUUCAUUAUUCGUUUCGUGAAUUCUUUAUUCCAGCUCCUGCGGAGGAGGAUUAUGCACCCUUAUUAUCAUUGCGAAGAAGGCAAUAGAAGGCUAUGGAUUUUCUAGGGUGGGCACAUUUGCUGUCUGGUCUUCUGAUGCAACACUGUGAUUCACCUUUUGCUCUCUGGUUCUUGAAUUUUGGCUUUUGGCUGCUCGUGUAGUAUCGUCCUAAAUAAGUAGAUGAGUUCGAUCCAUCGUGUCCAUUUGUCCUUUGGGUAAAUAAAUGAAGAAAACUACAAAAAUAUAUAUUUUGUGCUGUGUGAUUUAUCUUGUAAGACUGUUACCUUUCUAUUAAGACACAUAUUACCUUGCUUU